AAGAAAAGACCAUUCUUUGGUUUCAGGGCAGAUGUGGGAUAGACAUACAAGUUUGCUGAGCAUUCAAGCUCAUAAAUUUUCUCUAGGACAAUCUGCCUCUGAACUUAAUUUUGAAUAAUAAGGACUUGG